CCUACGGGAGGCAGCAGUAAGGAAUAUUGGUCAAUGGAGGCAACUCUGAACCAGCCAUGCCGCGUGCAGGAAGACUGCCCUAUGGGUUGUAAACUGCUUUUAUACGGGAAUAAACCUUGAUUCGUGAAUCGAGCUGAAUGUACCGUAAGAAUAAGGAUCGGCUAACUCCGUGCCAGCAGCCGCGGUAAUACGGAGGAUCCAAGCGUUAUCCGGAUUUAUUGGGUUUAAAGGGAGCGUAGGCGGCCUAUUAAGUCAGGGGUGAAAGACGGUGGCUCAACCAUCGCAGUGCCUUUGAUACUGGUAGGCUUGAAUGUAGUUGAGGUAGGCGGAAUGUGACAAGUAGCGGUGAAAUGCAUAGAUAUGUCACAGAACACCGAUUGCGAAGGCAGCUUACUAAGCUAUGAUUGACGCUGAGGCUCGAAAGCGUGGGGAUCAAACAGGAUUAGAUACCCUGGUAGUCCACGCCCUAAACGAUGAUAACUCGAUGUUGGCGAUAUACAGUCAGCGUCCAAGCGAAAGCGUUAAGUUAUCACCUGGGAGUACGCCCGCAGGGUGAAACUCAAAGGAAUUGACGGCUGAGACGAGACGAGACGACGACGAGGGAGGAGG
rnacentral:rRNA from 1 species